UACGAAGGGGGCUAGCGUUGUUCGGAAUCACUGGGCGUAAAGCGCACGUAGGCGGAUUUUUAAGUCAGGGGUGAAAUCCCGAGGCUCAACCUCGGAACUGCCUUUGAUACUGUGGAUCUGGAGUCCGGGAGAGGUGAGCGGAACUGCGAGUGUAGAGGUGAAAUUCGUAGAUAUUCGCAAGAACACCAGUGGCGAAGGCGGCUCACUGGCCCGAUACUGACGCUGAGGCACGAAAGCGUGGGGAGCAAACAGG
rnacentral:rRNA from 1 species